rnacentral:misc_RNA from 1 species
AAAUGCGAUAAGUAAUGUGAAUUGCAGAAUUCAGUGAAUCAUCGAAUCUUUGAACGCACAUUGCGCCCCCUGGUAUUCCGGGGGGCAUGCCUGUUCGAGCGUCAUUUCACCACUCAAGCCUCACUUGGUAUUGGGCGACGCGGUCCGCCGCGCGCCUCAAAUCGACCGGCUGGGUCUUUCGUCCCCUCAGCGUUGUGGAAACUAUUCGCUAAAGGGUGCCGCGGGAGGCCACGCCGUAAAACAACCCCAUUUCUAAGGUUGACCUCGGAUCAGGUAGGGAUACCCGCUGAACUUAAGC